GCAAGUCGAGCGAACGGACGAGAAGCUUGCUUCUCUGAUGUUAGCGGCGGACGGGUGAGUAACACGUGGAUAACCUACCUAUAAGACUGGGAUAACUUCGGGAAACCGGAGCUAAUACCGGAUAAUAUUUUGAACCGCAUGGUUCAAAAGUGAAAGACGGUCUUGCUGUCACUUAUAGAUGGAUCCGCGCUGCAUUAGCUAGUUGGUAAGGUAACGGCUUACCAAGGCAACGAUGCAUAGCCGACCUGAGAGGGUGAUCGGCCACACUGGAACUGAGACACGGUCCAGACUCCUACGGGAGGCAGCAGUAGGGAAUCUUCCGCAAUGGGCGAAAGCCUGACGGAGCAACGCCGCGUGAGUGAUGAAGGUCUUCGGAUCGUAAAACUCUGUUAUUAGGGAAGAACAUAUGUGUAAGUAACUGUGCACAUCUUGACGGUACCUAAUCAGAAAGCCACGGCUAACUACGUGCCAGCAGCCGCGGUAAUACGUGGGUGGCAAGCGUUAUCCGGAAUUAUUGGGCGUAAAGCGCGCGUAGGUGGUUUUUUAAGUCUGAUGUGAAAGCCCACGGCUCAACCGUGGAGGGUCAUUGGAAACUGGAAAACUUGAGUGCAGAAGAGGAAAGUGGAAUUCCAUGUGUAGCGGUGAAAUGCGCAGAGAUAUGGAGGAACACCAGUGGCGAAGGCGACUUUCNUGGUCUGUAACUGACGCUGAUGUGCGAA
rnacentral:rRNA from 1 species